CAGCAGCCGCGGGAAUACGAAGGGGGCUAGCGUUGCUCGGAAUUACUGGGCGUAAAGGGAGCGUAGGCGGAUGUUUAAGUCAGAGGUGAAAGCCCAGGGCUCAACCUUGGAACUGCCUUUGAUACUGGACAUCUUGAGUGUGGGAGAGGUAAGCGGAACUCCGAGUGUAGAGGUGAAAUUCGUAGAUACUCGGAAGAACACCAAUGGCGAAGGCGGCUUACUGGCCCAUUACUGACGCUGAGGCUCGAAAGCGUGGGGAGCAAACAGGAUUAGAUACCCCCGUAGUCCCUGUCUCUUAUAC
rnacentral:rRNA from 1 species